rnacentral:rRNA from 1 species
UACGGAGGGUGCAAACGUUGCUCGGAAUCAUUGGGCGUAAAGCGCACGUAGGCGGCGCGUUAAGUCGGGUGUGAAAGCCCUGGGCUCAACCCAGGAAGUGCAUUCGGAACUGGCGCGCUUGAAUAUGGAAGAGGGUCGCGGAAUUCCCGGUGUAGAGGUGAAAUUCGUAGAUAUCGGGAGGAACACCAGUGGCGAAGGCGGCGACCUGGGCCAAUAUUGACGCUGAGGUGCGAAAGCGUGGGGAGCAAACAGG